UUUAAUCCUCACAAAAAACAUCUUUCCCAUUUAACAUAGGAGAGAACGGAAACUCAUGAAGCUGAAGUUAUUGUCCACGGAAGCAGCAAUUGCAGGGUUAAUCUGAUGAGUUUGGAGUCCCGUAGUCACGCAUCAGAUGUUACGGCAAUGAAAGAUUUGAAGGCUUUAUAACAUCAAGUGAGAAGAAAGGUUGAGAGGUUCAAGUGACAUAACUGAAGUUCUCAACAUUAGCAACUCGGCCGAGACACCUAACGGC
rnacentral:lncRNA from 1 species